AGUGAACGCUGGCGGUAGGCCUAACACAUGCAAGUCGAGCGGCAGCACAGUAAGAGCUUGCUCUUACGGGUGGCGAGUGGCGGACGGGUUAGGAAUACAUCGGAAUCUACUUUUUCGUGGGGGAUAACGUAGGGAAACUUACGCUAAUACCGCAUACGACCUACGGGUGAAAGCAGGGGAUCUUCGGACCUUGCGCGAUUGAAUGAGCCGAUGUCGGAUUAGCUAGUUGGCGGGGUAAAGGCCCACCAAGGCGACGAUCCGUAGCUGGUCUGAGAGGAUGAUCAGCCACACUGGAACUGAGACACGGUCCAGACUCCUACGGGAGGCAGCAGUGGGGAAUAUUGGACAAUGGGCGCAAGCCUGAUCCAGCCAUACCGCGUGGGUGAAGAAGGCCUUCGGGUUGUAAAGCCCUUUUGUUGGGAAAGAAAAGCAGCAGGUUAAUACCCCGCUGUUCUGACGGUACCCAAAGAAUAAGCACCGGCUAACUUCGUG
rnacentral:rRNA from 1 species